AACGUAGGAGACAAACGUUAUCCGGAGUUACUGGGCGUAAAGGGCGUGUAGGUGGUUUCGUAAGUCUGGCGUGAAAUUUUUCGGCUUAACCGGGAAAGGUCGUCGGAUACUGCGAGGCUAGAGGACGGUAGAGGCGUGUGGAAUUCCGGGUGUAGUGGUGAAAUGCGUAGAGAUCCGGAGGAACACCAGCGGCGAAGGCGGCAUCCUGGACUGGUCCUGACACUCAGACGCGAAAGCAUGGGGAGCGAACGGG
rnacentral:rRNA from 1 species